UCCAGACUCCUACGGGAGGCAGCAGUGGGGGAUAUUGCAUAAUGGGGGAAACCCUGAUGCAGCGACGCCGCGUGAGUGAAGAAGUAUUUCGGUAUGUAAAGCUCUAUCAGCAGGGAAGAAGAUGACAGUACCUGAGUAAGAAGCCCCGGCUAACUACGUGCCAGCAGCCGCGGUAAUACGUAGGGGGCAAGCGUUAUCCGGAUUUACUGGGUGUAAAGGGAGCGUAGACGGAUGGAUAAGUCUGAAGUGAAAGCCCGCGGCUCAACCCCGGCGAGCCGUUGAAACUGUCGGACUAGAGACGGCGAGAAGUACGCGGAAUGCGCGGUGUAGCGGUGAAAUGCAUAGAUAUCGCGCAGAACUCCGAUUGCGAAGGCAGCGUACCGGCGCCGGACUGACGCUGAGGCACGAAAGCGUGGGUAUCGAACAGGAUUAGAUACCCGCGUAUU
rnacentral:rRNA from 1 species